rnacentral:rRNA from 2 species
GAAACACGGACCAAGGAGUCUAGCAUGUGCGCGAGUCAUUGGGACUCUGUUAAACCUAAAGGCGCAAUGAAAGUAAAGGUCCGCCUCGCGCGGACCGAGGGAGGAUGGGCCCGUCCACGGGCGGGCCCCGCACUCCCGGGGCGUCUCGUUCUCAUCGCGAGAAGAGGCGCACCCAGAGCGUACACGCUGGGACCCGAAAGAUGGUGAACUAUGCCUGGUCAGGACGAAGUCAGGGGAAACCCUGAUGGAGGUCCGUAGCGAUUCUGACGUGCAAAUCGAUCGUCGGAACUGGGUAUAGCGGCGAUAGACUAAUCGAACCUUCUAGUAGCUGG